CGGAGGCAGCUGCUGCCAGCGCCACCAAGGCAGGCUGCAGGUCCCCCCUGGCAGCAGCCCGCGUCACUGUCCCCUACAUGCCCUCGCCCUUUGGCUCUGCCCGCCGUGUGCCCACCACCCAGGCUGAGCUCUCCAGGGAGCCGCCGCCCUCCUUCUCCACACCUCGUGCCCUGCGCCCGCCGACGAGUGCCAAAAAGACUCCCCUGGCAGAGCGCGGCAGCCCCCUGCCCGUCCUCACCAAGCGUCCCCUCGGCAGCCCCCCCAGGGGCACCG